GCUAGUAAUGGCAGGUCAGCAUCCUGCCGUGAAUACGUUCCCGGGCCUUGUACACACCGCCCGUCACACCAUGAGAGUUGGGAAUACCCGAAGCCUGUGAGCUAACGUUAAGAGGCAGCAGUCGAAGGUAGAAUCAAUGAUUGGGGUGAAGUCGUAACAAGGUAUC
rnacentral:rRNA from 1 species